rnacentral:lncRNA from 1 species
UUUUUACCUUUUCUUUUUUUUUUUUUUUUUUUUUUUUUUUUUUAACCCAGAGUGCAAAGCAAAAUCAAAGGCAGGUUCACGGAGUCCCCAGCUGUGAAACAUAAGCUUGAGCCCUUCCCCGUGUGCUGUGCUUCUUACCACAUGCCGUGCCUCUUACCUACACUCACAGCCUGGGGCCCUACACAAUUGGUUUGGUUACGUGCCACUAAAAUCAGAUUGUUCCAGAAUGACCACACAAAGGGCAAAAUGACAGUCUGUAGAAGCCAAGGGCAAGGAUCCUCAUUUCAGAUUAAGCUGCAAGACCAUUUUUCUUUUCUACGUGAAAGUGUAUCUGAUACGAAGGAUGUCUCCCUUCUCUCAGAGACACUGAACUCACUCGAGGCAGGAGAGUCACGGCUGAGCCAUUCCUGAAUGCUCCUUAAGCAAUAGGGUUUCAAUUAAAGCAGCGACAGAGCUUUUGGCUCUUGCAGCAGCACCACGUCAGUAGGUCCAAGAACUCCAGAUGUUUGUCCAAAGAAAUGUCAUGGCAACAGCCUCUCUGACACAGCUCCUCUGUGCUGCAGCACGCUUCAGGGGUUGUUGCCACGACCUCCUCACUGCUGCCACUCCUCUCCCUCCAGUCCCUAGAGGGUUGCUGCUUUGGCUGACUUCGUCUCUUCUCAGUACUUCUGGGACUUCUUCACGGCUCCUUCAGCGUUGCUGCUGUCCUGUUCCAGGUCUCUGCAUUGCUGCAGACCACAUUUCAGAUGCUACUUUUCAGAGCUUUUCUAGUGUCAUGUAGCUGAGCAGACCCAGAGCCUUUACAUGUGGGCAGCACAGAGGAAAGCAAAACACUGACACCGAGGCCUCUUCAACAGCAAUAAUCAUGGAGCAAAUGAGCACAGGCAUUUGGGUGGGUAAGUUUUUGAAUAGCUACUGCAAGGAGGCUUUUUCAGGUAGCAAGGAAAUGCUUCUGAGCCACAAAGUGCCUCUUCUCAGCAUCUCUGCUCCUUUCUGUUGGAUUUCCAUGUAGCCCCAAGGUGGUGCUGGGUACAUCCGCUGAUAUUAAUGGGGUGACACAAUGUAAGAGAUUGUUAAUGGACAAGGUACACGUGAGGUGCACGAAUUGCAUAUUCUAGGCAAUAAAAAAGCCACAACUUGGCA